rnacentral:rRNA from 1 species
GCCUCAGUAACUGCGAGUGAAGCGGCAAAAGCUCAAAUUUGAAAUCUGGUACCUUUGGGUGCUCGAGUUGUAAUUUGGAGAGGCAACUUCGAAGGAGGCGCUGGCCUAAGUUCCUUGGAACAGGACGUCACAGAGGGUGAGAAUCCCGUGCUUGGCUGGCUGUCCUCCUUCAUGUGAAGUGUCUUCGACGAGUCGAGUUGUUUGGGAAUGCAGCUCAAAAUGGGUGGUAAACUCCAUCUAAGGCUAAAUAUUGGCGAGAGACCGAUAGCGCACAAGUAGAGUGAUCGAAAGAUGAAAAGCACUUUGAAAAGAGAGUUAAACAGUACGUGAAAUUGUUGAAAGGGAAGCGCUUGAGACCAGACUCGGUGAUAGGUGAUCAGCGGUUGCUUUUGCUCCGUGCACUUGCCUUUUAUCGGGCCAGCAUCAGUUGCGACGGUGGGAUAAAGACUCAGGGAAUGUGGCUCUCUUCGGGGAGUGUUAUAGCCCUGGGUGUAAUGCCACCUGUUGCGACUGAGGACCGCGCUUCGGCUAGGAUGCUGGCAUAAUGGUCUUCAGCGACCCGUCUUGAAACACGGACCAAGGAGUCUAACAUCUAUGCGAGUGUUCGGGUGUAAAACCCCUACGCGUAAUGAAAGUGAACGGAGGUGGGAACUCUUCGGAGUGCACCAUCGACCGAUCCUGAUGUCUUCGGAUGGAUUUGAGUAGGAGCAUAGCUGUUGGGACCCGAAAGAUGGUGAACUAUGCCUGAAUAGGGUGAAGCCAGAGGAAACUCUGGUGGAGGCUCGCAGCGGUUCUGACGUGCAAAUCGAUCGUCAAAUUUGGGUAUAGGGG